GUUCACUGAACUGAAUUGGUAAGUUCUGAUAGGAUAGUGAAAUCAAAUAAACUCAUAAUAUACUUUCAUGGUUUAAAAAAUAGAUACUUGAGAAGAUCAAAGUGAAUGACAAAUCAAUGAAAUAUAUUCUGAUUUUUUUAAGUUAUUACUCUUUUCCCUCCUGCCCCCAAUAUGUCUGUAUCAUUCCUACUUUUGAUCAUUUAGUAGAUGGUCUAGUAACUUCACCUCUUGAUGCUCAGCACUCGUAUUCCCUUACGUGUUACUGCUUGUAGGAUGUUCGAAUACAUUGUACCUAACAUUCUAAAUGAAAGAAAACCAUUACUAUUUUAUUGCCCAUCUGAUUCAGUAUACCUAUUCUCAAAAUAGUGUUGUUCCUUUCUUGUCAGACAGAAAAAUCAAUGUUAUCCUGUUUAUCAUUCUUUGUGAGGGAAGAAUGCAACUAUGUUUCUGCUGGAAGAACCUCUAGUAAGGUAAAAUCGGUUCAUAAUGGUAAUUACAUACAGGCAUACCUCAGAGAUGCUGUGCAUUCAGAUCCAGACCACAAGAAAGCGAAUAUUGCUGUAAAGUUAGUCAAAGGGACUUUUUGGCGCCCUGGUGCAUAUAAAAGUUAUGUUGCCAGUACAGGUUAGUAUAAUAAGUGUGUAAUAGCAUCAUGUUUAAAAGACAAUGUACAUACCUCGUUAAAAAAAUCCUUAAUUGCUCAAAAAUGUGACCUGUCAUCAGAGCUAGUGAGUUGUCAUCUUUUUCCUGGUAGAAGGUCUUCCUUUCAUGUUGGUGGCUCUUGACCCAUCAGGAUGGUGGCUGCUGAAGGUUGGGUGGCUGUGGCAAUUUGUUUUAAAUGAGAUAGCAAGAAAGUUGGCUGCACUGACGGACUCUUCCUUUCACAAGCAAUCUCUCUUGCAUGUGAUGCUGUUUGAUAGCAUUUUAUCCACAAUACUACGUCUUUCUAAACUGGAUUCAAAUCUCUGAAACCUGCCUACUGCUUUUCAACUAAGUUUAUGUCAUAUUUGAAAUCCUCUGUUGUUUCAAAAUCUUCAUAGCGUCUUCAUCAGGAGUAGAUUCCACCUCAAGAAACCACUUUGUUUGCUCAUUCACAAGAAACGAUUCCUUAUCCAUUAAAGUUUCCCCAUGAGAUUGCAAUCGUUCAGUUAUAGUGACAGGCUCCAUGUAUAAUUCUAGUUCUCUUGCUGUUAACAACACAUCUUCAGCUAUUUCCUCCAUAGGAGUCUUGAGCCCCUCAGUCGUUCCUGAGGGUUGGAAUCAACCUCUUUGAAGCUCCUGUUAAUUUUGAUAUUUUUACCUCUUCUGAUGUUCUGGAUGGCACAAAUGUUCUGAAUGGCAUCUAGAAUGAUGAAUUCUUUCCAAGAGGUUUUCAAUUAACUUUACCCAUAUCCAUCAGAAGAAUAACUCUUUAUGGUAGCUAUAGCCUUACAAAACGUGUUUCUUAAAAAUGAGACUUGGAAGUUGAAGUUACUUCUUGAUCCAUGGGCUGAAGAAUACAUGCUACAUUAGCAGGAAUCAACACAACACUGAUCUUGUACAUUUCCAGCAGAGCUCUCGGGUGACCAGGUACUUUAUGAAAAAGCAAUGUCCACAAAAUAUCAGUGUGCAUAAAAUAUUCAGUAAACAAUGGUGGAAACAGGUUUUCUGUCACCCAGGGCUUUGUUGUUCCAUUUAAAGAGCAUACACAGACUAUUUUUAGCAUAAUUCUUAAGGGUCUUAGGAUUUUUGAAAUGGAAAUGUGCAUUGGCUUCAACGAAAAGUCAUCAUCUCUAUAAGUCCCUAACAAGAGAGUCAGCCUUUAUUUUUUUGUGUGUCUAUUUAUUUUGAAGGAGGCAGGGGGAGGGUAUGAGGGAGUAGGGGAGGGGCAGAGAGAGAAGGAGAGAGAGCAAGAAUCCCAAGCAGGCUCUGCACUGACAGGUUUCAAACUCACAGACUAUGAGAUCGUGACCUGACCUGAAGUCAAGAGUCGGACUCUCAACUGACUGAGCCACCCAGGUGCUCCCAAAGUCCCCACGUAUGUAACUCCAAACAGGAGAGUCAGCCUGUCUUUCAUAGCUUUGAAACUAGGCAUUGACUUCUCCUCUUUAGCUAUGAAAGUCCUUGAUGGCAUCUUCUAAUAAAAGCUAUUUUGUAUACA
rnacentral:lncRNA from 1 species